rnacentral:rRNA from 1 species
UACGGGGGGGGCAAGCGUUGUUCGGAAUUACUGGGCGUAAAGGGCUCGUAGGCGGCCAACUAAGUCAGACGUGAAAUCCCUCGGCUUAACCGGGGAACUGCGUCUGAUACUGGAUGGCUUGAGUUCGGGAGAGGGAUGCGGAAUUCCAGGUGUAGCGGUGAAAUGCGUAGAUAUCAGGAGGAACACCAGUGGUGUAGACGGCGUUCUGGACGAGUACUUGACGCUGAGGCGCGAAAGCGUGGGGAGCAAACAGG